AUGAAGACACAAGUAGGAGUCUUGGUGGGCCUUCUGUGGAUACAGAUUUGCUGGUUAAGAGUGGAGACGAAGGUGGAGCAGAGUCCUCGUUUUCUGUUUCUACAAGAGGGGAAAAAUUCCUCUCUGCUGUGCAAUUUUUCUAUCUCCGUGACCAGUGUUCAGUGGUUCCAACAAAACCCUGCAGGACACCUCAUACCUUUGUUUUACAUAACUUUAGAAAUGAAGCAAAAAGGAAGAUUAAAAUCCACACUCAAUAUCAAGGAACGUUAUAGCCAGCUAUACAUCAGAGACUCACAACCUGAGGACUCAGCCACUUACUUCUGCGCCAUAGAAGCACAGUGCUCUUAA